rnacentral:lncRNA from 1 species
GUUCUGGUAAGAGCAGGACAGAGGUUUCUAGGGCAUGAAGGAAAAAAAUAUUGGAAUAUAGUUCUAGAAAGCCUGGCUGGAAAAUAUGGAAUCUGUUUCAUGUGCUGCCAGUGAGACAAUGUUGUUUGCGUGCUUUCCUCAAAGUCCUGCAUCCUGCUCGCGGUGCUGAGGUCUGUGCGAACCCUUUUUGGAGCGCUUUUUGCGGAGGGGACCCGGGGGACACUCAUGGCUCUCUGCAUCUUCCUCGGGAGGGCGAGAGGAGCGGCAGAGCCCCAUCUCUCCGCUGAGCACCCGAGGGGCCGACCUCAAGUCGUGUCGGGGGAGGUUUAGGCUGGAGAUUAAGGAAAGGC